CUUUAGAUUAUAAUUUAAGGUCUGACCUGCCCGCUGAAUAAUUGAAUGGCCGCAGUAAUUUGACUGUGCAAAGGUAGCAUAAUCAUUAGUUUUUUAAUUAAAAGCUUGUAUGAAUGGUUGGACGAAAUAAAUUCUGUCUCUUUUUAAUAAUUAGAAUUUAAUUUUUAAGUUAAAAAGCUUAAAUGGUGAUAAAAGACGAGAAGACCCCAUAGAUUUUUAUAAUUUUAUUUAUAUUUUUGAUUAGGAAUAUUUUAUUGAUUAUAGAUUUAAUUAUUAUAUUGGGGUAAUAGGAAGAUUAAUUUAAUUCUUUUUAAUUUUUUUCAAUAAUGUUUGAUUAUUUGAUCCUUUUUUAAAGAUUAUAAGAUUAAGUUACCUUGGGGAUAACAGCGUAAUUUUUUUAGAGAGUUCUUAUCGAUAAAAAAGUUUGCGACCUCGAUGUUGGAUUAAAAAUUAUUCUGGGUGUAGAAGUUCGGAGUUUUGGUCUGUUCGACCAUUAAAUUUUUMCAUGAUCUGAGUUCAGACCGGUGUGAGCCAGGUCGGUUUCUAUCUUUAUUAAAUAAAUUUAUUUCAGUACGAAAGGACCAAAUAAUUAAUAUAUUUAUAUUUAAAUUUUGAAUAUAA
rnacentral:rRNA from 1 species